GGGCGCUUGGCGCAGUGGUAGCGCGAAUGCUUUGCAUGCAUUAGGCCGUGGGUUCAAACCCCACAGUGUCCA